UGGGGAAUUUUGGACAAUGGGGGCAACCCUGAUCCAGCCAUGCCGCGUGAGUGAAGAAGGCCUUCGGGUUGUAAAGCUCUUUCGGCGGGGACGAAACGGUCCGUGACAACACCACGGACUAAUGACAGUACUCGCAGAAGAAGCACCGGCUAACUACGUGCCAGCAGCCGCGGUAAUACGUAGGGUGCAGGCGUUAAUCGGAAUUACUGGGCGUAAAGCGUGCGCAGGCGGCUCCUUAAGUCAGAUGUGAAAUCCCCGGGCUUAACCUGGGAACUGCGUUUGAAACUGAGGGGCUAGAGUGUGGAAGAGGGGGGUGGAAUUCCAGGUGUAGCAGUGAAAUGCGUAGAGAUCUGGAGGAACACCGAUGGCGAAGGCAGCCCCCUGGGCUAACACUGACGCUCAUGCACGAAAGCGUGGGGAGCAAACAGGAUUAGAUACCCGUGUAGUCCCUGAGCGGGCUGGCAAGGCGCAU
rnacentral:rRNA from 1 species